UUUAUCUACUCUCUAUUUAAGGCCCUUGCGCAAAUGCCAGAAUCCCAUUUUUCUUGAAUGUGGAGUGCGCAAGAGCAAAAAUACAGGUAUACUUGGUUGAAUGUGUUUCAUCGGCAUGAUUUGAUCGUAAACUCCAUGCUACAUCACGAAACAGGUUUAUUUUUAGGAUCGUAAACUCCACGCUACAUUACGUCGAUUGAGUUCCUUACACUUGGUAAUGGAUCGGGACUCCAGCAUUGAGAGUGGAGUGCGCAAGAGAAAAAAUACAGGUUCUAAAAAGAUAUAGUCGAUUGAGCUACUUCUCUACUUCGAAAUCAGCUUCGGUGAUUUUUCUCUUCCUUCUUACUGUAUUGUAAAUAUAUUUUCGAAAAAGUUAUGGUAAUUGUUCAAGUCCUUUCCAUCGGUGUCUGCUUCAAGGCAGCAAACAGAAAAACUAACAAAGCAAACAGAAAAACUGACAAAGCUAUGGCUGGUCACCAAAAAGCACCAGGCCAGAACUCAACAAUGGGACCAUGCAAGUGAAGAUCUCGAACUAAGUUGCUUUAACGUCCUCUAUCACAUAGCUGGUAGUCAUGGUUGCUUCAACGUCUUUUUAUCACAUAACUGGUAGUCAUAUUCAAGAGACCUUAGAAUUCGGUAUUUCUUCAAUUAGGUUUCUUUGUUAUAAUUGUAAACAUAUUUUGCAUGUAAAGGGGAUAUUUUGACGAAGAAUAUGCAAAUAGAUCGAAAAAGGAAGAUAGGUAUUAUGCUGGCUAUUGCAAAUAAUUGAUAGUGUUUCAGCUGUUGGAGAAAUCUAUAUUGCGACCAACACCAACAUACUGAAGGUUCAUGGAUCAAUCAACUAUAUACUGCAUUAUAAUAUAUCGGUGCCUAUUUUCAUCAAUACAUUUAAGGUGUGUUUAUGAAAUUUCUCAUUAAAUAUAGAAAUUGUGUUGGUACAGCUCAUUAUGGGGAUGGAUAUAAUCGCUGGAGGAAGCCAGUACGUGUAUAUUCACAUAUAGGUCUACCGGUGAAACAUAAUGGAGACUCUCAGAUACGAUACAUUUGUAUGGUUUCCUUUUGCACUUCUGAAAAUUUUUAGACAC